CUCCUGACCUCUCUUUCCUCCUCCCUUUUCCUGAAACUUGGGAGUUCCCUGACCUCACCCUGGGCUCUCACCUCCAGCACGAUGAGUCAGCACAG